CCCCACCACAAAACCACCUCAAAAAUAGCACAAACCUGACUUCACUGCCUCUUCGCCACUGAUGCCGCCACCACCACCACAACCACUGCCUGUUUCAACAAUAACCACCACAACCACCUAAAAUCGACCAUCUCCUUCUCCUCCACCACACCACAUCCAUCAAGACCAACUCAAAGAUGCAAACUAAAAUAGAGAAAAUAGAUCGAUGCCUCGCAGCAAAUGAAUCACCAUCGAAUGAAAAAGAAAAUUAAACCCAAGAGAAAACAGCAGCGACCAUCAGAGCUGGAGCCUGUCGUGUGCAGCUGCAGUACGCCCAAACCAACAGCAGUGCAGCCGAUCGUGUUCAACUACCGUUCGAGUUUGCCACUGUGAGUGUCAUUGUACUGGUCAUGUGCAGCCGCCUACUGUCGAUCGUGUGCAGUUG
rnacentral:lncRNA from 1 species